AAUCGGAGGGAGGUUUGAUAGUGAGACGCGAGCGGAGCCAGAGGCAAAGAGGAGGCGAGGGCGAAGGCGCAGCAUCUCCUCGUCGGUCUCCAUCCCCAAGCCGCCAAGUUCCCGGCCGCCUCAGAAGUUGCAGCAAAGACGUCCGCUCUGAGUGGGUGUCACUUUCUUCAGCUAAGUGGCACCCGUGUCGGAGAUUAUGUGACUCUGGAAGCAGUAUUGCUGCAGUGGUACCGGUCCUCACCCAG